rnacentral:rRNA from 1 species
AGCAGCCGCGGUAAUUCCAGCUCCAAUAGCGUAUAUUAAAGUUGUUGCAGUUAAAAAGCUCGUAGUUGAAUUUCGGGAUUCGUCCAUUGGUCAGGCUUAACUGUCUGUACUGGUGUGUCGGAUUUCUACCUUCUGAAGAACCUUUAUGCCAUUAAUUUGGUGUGUUGGGGGAUCAGGACUGUUACUUUGAAAAAUUAGAGUGUUUAAAGCAGGCUAACGUCUGAAUACAUUAGCAUGGAAUAAUGAAAUAGGACGGUAUGGUUCUAUUUUGUUGGUUUCUAGGAUCGCCGUAAUGAUUAAUAGGGAUAGUUGGGGGCAUUAGUAUUCAAUUGUCAGAGGUGAAAUUCUUGGAUUUAUUGAAGACUAACUACUGCGAAAGCAUUUGCCAAGGAUGUUUUCAUUAAUCAAGAACGAAAGUUAGGGGAUCGAAGACGAUCAGAUACCGUCGUA